rnacentral:tRNA from 1 species
GAGGGUAUAGCUCAGUGGUGGAGCACAUGCUUAGCAUGCACGAUAUCCUGGGUUCAAUCCCUAGUAUUUCCA